AGGGCAUCUUGUUAAGAUGCUGCAGGUUUAGGGAGGGGCAGAGAGUGUGCCUUUCUAACAAGCUUCCAGGUGAUAUUGAGAUCUUGAUGCAGCUGGUUCUCAGACCGUGCUUUGAGAAGCGAGGCUACGCUUACCUGGCAGUUUGCUUUUCGGAGAUUUAUCCCGAGGGAACAUGGAUAAUAAAAGCUGUAUUGGGUCAAGAAGUUUUCAUCUAAGAAGGAGGAUUGUGCAAUAGAAAGAGGACUAACGAGGAGCAGGAAAACCAGGGCUGAAUUCCAAGUUAUGCAACAAGCUAACUGGGUGCAUUUGGAUAAGCUAUAGCCUCUCUGAGCUACAAGGAGGAGGUUAAGCUGUGUUGGUGAGUUCCCAACUCUUCAUAGAGGAUGUGUGUUUGGAAAGAUUUUGUCCACUAAAUACAUUGCAAACAACAGAAGAACCCCUGUGGUGCUAGCCUAGACAGAUGAAUAAUUUCCAUCUAUCCUUUUGAAACUUAGAACAUGUAUCCAGAGCACAAACAGAAACACCCAUUUGGAAAUGUCUGGAUUUGAUGAUGUCCAAGGUCUCUUCUUAACGCGGAUAUCCUGUGAUCUCAGUGACAAGCAUAAAGAGGGAAAGAGGUGAAAGAACAGAGAGGAGGGAAUGACUUACAACAAAACCAACAUGUGGCUGCUGCUGCUGCUGAUCAUCUCUAACUGACCACUUUACUGUCAGUGCCAAGCAUUGUGCCAAGCGCUGGAUCAAUAUUAUCUCACUUAAUUGUCAUCCCAGUUCUGUGAGGGCUCAAGUUGUCUUCUCACAUUCACCACAUACCUGUACUGAGAAACUCCCUUCAUCCACACGUGACCCUGGAGAAGGAAGAAGGGAAGAUACUAACACAGAGAGAGGCAACGCGACCUACCCAAGACUUUUCAGCAAGUGAGGAUUAGAGCUGGGAUUAGAACUCUGGUCUCCUCACCAGUGACUCUACGCUCUUUCCAUUAAAUUAUGUUUGUUUUUGUUUGAGUCGUUUUGUUUUAAAAUAGGGCAUUUUAGCCAAGAAAAGUGUGCUGGAUAUCUUCCAUUUUCCUGUCUCAGAAGAUUCUCCACCCUUUCAGAGGCUGCAGGCAGCCUCUACAGUUGCCCUUGUCCUUUGGCUUCCUGUUGGGUUCAGCCAAUAGGGAGCCAUGGCUGGAGGCUAAGGGUGAAAAAAUAAUGACAUCAGACUAGCUGCAUCCCCACCACACCCUCUCAUCGCUGGGCCCAGGGGUUUAGUCGUGUGUCUCCACCCGAGGUCUGGGUUCCUGUUCAGUGUCUCUCUCCUACAGCUCUCUGUGAGCUCAGAUAUCCACUCUCUCCCCUUAUCCCCAUUAGAUCUAGGGAUGGUAAUGGUUCCCAGCUGUUGCCAGCUCUUGCACAUUUCUUCAUCCCUGUUGAUUUCCCUUAAUUAUUUACAAAAGGGUGGGAGGAGUUAUUUCAUUAAAUUUUCCUUAGUUGCCCCAUUUGAGUGCUGUGUUUCCUAUCAGAAACAGCAUUGAUACAGAAGGCUUGUGAAGGAGUGUCUCUGUUUAUUCCCUUUAGCCACAAGGCAUCUUUCCUCUGAACUCUUCUGCUGUUCUCAAAUUUGCUAAUGGGCAUAUUUCAGAUCUUGUGAAAUAUGGUUGCUGUGGUGGAGCUCCUGAGAGAUGAUCGGUACCCAGGCUCUCCCUCACUUCAAGUUGUCCCAUUGAACUUCCGGAGGG
ensembl:lncRNA